GACGAACGCUGGCGGCGUGCUUAACACAUGCAAGUCGAACGGAAAGGCCCUGCUUUUGUGGGGUGCUCGAGUGGCGAACGGGUGAGUAACACGUGAGUAACCUGCCCUUGACUUUGGGAUAACUUCAGGAAACUGGGGCUAAUACCGGAUAGGAGCUCCUGCUGCAUGGUGGGGGUUGGAAAGUUUCGGCGGUUGGGGAUGGACUCGCGGCUUAUCAGCUUGUUGGUGGGGUAGUGGCUUACCAAGGCUUUGACGGGUAGCCGGCCUGAGAGGGUGACCGGCCACAUUGGGACUGAGAUACGGCCCAGACUCCUACGGGAGGCAGCAGGGGGGAAUAUUGCACAAUGGGCGGAAGCCUGAUGCAGAAACGCCGCGUGCGGGAGGACGGCCUUCGGGUGGUAAACCGCUUUCGCCUGUGACGAAGCGUGGGUGACGGUAAUGGGUAAAGAAGCACCGGCUAACUACGU
rnacentral:rRNA from 1 species